CGGCAGCUAGGCUUGCAUGUUCUCCAAAGUCAGCCGCUGCUUGAGCAGCAGAGGUUGCAUCCUUAAAUUUCAUGUUAAAUUCUGCCUGCCAACAGAAAAAUUACCAUUACCAUCUCAAGGAAAUGAUUGCCUUUGUUCCAACUUUUCAUCCUUGAAACCCUAAGUGGCAUGAACGACCAUAAUCAAAAAAAUAUUGCCUUUAAAGUUCUACAACAGCUCUGGCAGCUAGGCUUGCAUGUUCUGCAAACUCAGCCGCUGCUUGAGCAGUAGAGGUAGCAUCCUUAAAUUUCAUGUUCCAACCCUGCCUACCAACAGAAAAUUACCAUUACCAUCUCAAGGCAAUGAUUGCCCAUGUUCAAACCUUUUAUCCUUGAAAACUAAGUGGCAUGAACCACUAUCAUCAACACAAUAUUGCCUUGAAAGUUCUACAACAGCUCUGGCAGCUAGGCUUGCAUGUUCUGCAAACUGAGCCGCUGCUUGAGCAGCAGAGG
rnacentral:lncRNA from 1 species